GAUGAAUCCUCCAUGUUCUUCCAGUUUGGCCCAUCAAUUGAACAGCAAGCUUCCGUAAUGCUCAACAUCAUGGAAGAAUAUGACUGGUACAUCUUUUCUAUUGUCACCACCUACUUCCCUGGCUACCAGGACUUUGUAAACAAGAUCCGCAGCACCAUCGAGAAUAGCUUCGUGGGCUGGGAGCUAGAGGAAGUCCUCCUGCUGGACAUGUCCCUGGAUGAUGGAGAUUCUAAGAUCCAGAAUCAGCUCAAGAAACUUCAAAGCCCCAUCAUUCUCCUUUAUUGCACUAAGGAAGAAGCUACCUACAUCUUCGAAGUGGCUAACUCAGUAGGGCUGACUGGCUACGGCUACACUUGGAUUGUUCCCAGUCUGGUGGCAGGGGAUACAGACACAGUCCCCUCGGAGUUCCCCACUGGGCUCAUCUCAGUAUCGUAUGACGAAUGGGACUAUGGCCUCCCUGCCAGAGUGAGAGAUGGAAUUGCCAUAAUCACCACCGCCGCUUCUGACAUGCUGUCUGAACACAGCUUCAUCCCCGAGCCCAAGAGCAGUUGCUACAACACCCAUGAGAAGAGAAUCUACCAGUCCAAUAUGCUGAAUAGGUGAGUGUGGACAGAGGGCACAUGGCAGUGGAGAUGAGAGGAGAGCUUCGGAGACUGGGGUUGGAGGCUCAGAAGCUGUGGCAGGAGCAGUUCAAGACAGCAGCAGGGUGAAGGCUGCCCUCUGGGGUGGCAGUGGGGCGUGAUGGCAGGAGC